AUGAAGACGCAAGCUGAUAAACACAUAACUGAAAGAAGCUUUUCUGUGGGUGAUCAGGUCUUUCUCAAACUGCAACCAUAUAUACAGAAGUCUGUGGCUCCACAUGCUAAUCAUAAGCUGGCAUACAAAUUCUUCGGUCCCUACACUAUUCUAGAAUGUGUGGGAGAAGUUGCCUAUCGUCUGGAUCUCCCAAUCACCAGCAAGGUCCAUCCGGUGUUUCAUGUGUCUCUUCUAUGCAAAGUUCUCAAGCCCACACAUCAAGUUCUUCCUCAACUACCAUCGCCUGAAGCGGCAGUGCAAGUACCAGUUCUGCAGAGGCGAGUGAUCCAUCGUGUUGACAAGAAGGUGGUUCAGGUCCUCCUUCAGUGGUCUGGUGAUUCAGCUGAUUUAGCAACUUGGGAAGACUUCGAAGCUAUCAAGCAAAAAUUCCCGCGCGCGCCGGCUUGGGGGCAAGCCGUAUCUCAACAAAGGGGGAUUGUCAGCGACAAGGUGCAGAGUACACAGGAGGAGGCGCCAAGUUCAAUCGCACAGCCCACGCGCAAGCCUCGUCUUCCGUCUCAGCUUGCUGGGCCUGAAUGA
rnacentral:rRNA from 1 species